GUCGGCCGAGUAGACCGAAGAAGUCGCUUCCGAGCGCAUCGAGGCGGGGGAUCGUCGAGAUAGUGAUGCGCACGCUUGUCACGUAUCUGCAACCCAUCGACGACAGGUUGACAAGCUUGGAGCUAAAUAUAAGAAACACAAGGAAGAGGCAGAAGUUUUCUAUGUUAGAACCUCUGGUCUCUGGUCACACUCUGGAUGCCAAGUCCCUGAGGAAUAAAAAGCACCAAAAAGCUCCCAGGAAGGCAGCGAUUUGAGGCCUUUAACACUAGCACCCGGAAAUUAAAUGAGAUUGGGAGACGGAAUUCCAGAUUACCCUUCCAGUGUUUCCAAGUUACCCUCUGAAGACUCUUCCGUCUCUAUUUGUGCUCUUCUGGGAAGCAGAAUAGUUGUGUAGGGAUGGACUGACGCUACAUGAGUUGAAUCGGUCUUAAAUGUGGUGUUACUAUUUCUAGUUGGGUCUUAUUGGACAAGUUAUUUAAUUUUAUGCUC